CUUCAGCGACCCCACCCACAGCGGCCGGCCGUCGUCCCGGCCCUCGCCGUACGCCUCGAUCAGCGCCUGCGCCUC
rnacentral:antisense_RNA from 1 species